GUAGGUGGCAAGCGUUGUCCGGAAUUAUUGGGCGUAAAGCGCGCGCAGGUGGUUCUUUAAGUCUGAUGUGAAAGCCCCCGGCUCAACCGGGGAGGAUCAUUGGAAACUGGGGAACUUGAGUGCAGGAGAGGAAAGUGGAAUUCCACGUGUAGCGGUGAAAUGCGUAGAUAUGUGGAGGAACACCAGUGGCGAAGGCGACUUUCUGGCCUGUAACUGACACUGAGGCGCGAAAGCGUGGGGAGCAAACAGGGAUUAGAUACCCUGGUAGUCCACGCCGUAAACGAUGAGUGCUAAGUGUUGGGGGGGUUUCCCGCCCCUCAGUGCUGCAGCUAACGCAUUAAGCACUCCGCCUGGGGAGUACGGUCGCAAGACUG
rnacentral:rRNA from 1 species